rnacentral:ncRNA from 1 species
CAUGGACCCGGGGGUCAACCUCGGGUGGCUCUUCCGGCCGCCUAUCCGCCGGACAACC